rnacentral:misc_RNA from 1 species
GAGCACAUAGACGCAUCUGAUAUCGAGCAAACUAUCUGGCCGCGCGCAGCUGCUGCAGCAGAACGGCUAUGGACGCCAUAUGACAAUCUGGCAAAGGACCCGAGGUUGGUUACAGAAAGAUUGGCGCGGUUUAGGUGUUUGUUGAAUCAGAGGGGGGUGGCUGCUGCGCCGUUGGCCGGAGCUGGGCGGGCAGCUCCAGAAGAACCAGGAUCUUGCCUUAGACAGUAAUGACGGCAUGUGUCCUGGAAGGUUUUCAAAUUAUAGUUGAAAUACACACAAUUAUUUGGGUAUAUUGGGUAUUUAUUUUCUCAGAGUCAAC